rnacentral:lncRNA from 1 species
AGGAAGCCUGGGCCCACAGGCUGACAGAGGGAUGGUGUGCUGCACAGAGGAGGACCUGUGAUGGGGAUUCAAGAAGGGACCUCAUGGGCCACUGCCUAGCGGGGCCCAGAGGGUCGUGUGCUGCAGUAUUGCCGUGACUGGGGCCAGGUUCUCCCUCCACCCACGUGCCCCUUACCUGAGAGCACGCUCUGGAUGCGGUCAUAAUGCAGGAAGUUGUAUGUGCUGCUGGUGAGGCUAGCCUCGUCUCUGGGCAGUGUCUCCUUCAGGUGGACUUCCAGCCCAUUCAGCGACGCCAGGCUGCUGUGGUACUGCAGAGGGGCCAGGAGUGGGUCACAGGCCGGCACACUUAGUUGAAAGGACUUCCCUAGGUGGAGCUGACUGGCUUGGAACUCACUACGAAGACCAGGCCGGUCUAACUGUGCAAAGCCUUCUGCCUCUGCCUCUGCCUCUGCCUCUGCCUCUGCCUCCUGACUGCUUGGAUUAUAGGUGUGCACCACCCUGCCCCAGCCCCAUCUCUUCAUGUGUUAUGUGGUGUACAUGCAGCUCAGAGGAGGACAUCAGACCCCUUGACAAACCCCCUGCUGUUACAGGCAGCUGUGAGCUGUCCACUGCACUCAGGGCCUGGGAACAUCAGCAAGAGCUCUGAACCCCUGAGCCAUCUCUCCAACUCUGGGAUUGUCUGCUUUAGCAAUAACGGUGGCCUGGUGUUCCAGUGUUUCCCAACACCAACA